CCCCCCCCCCAACCCCUCGACGAUAUCGCUAGGAAAGUUAUUCUUCUUUGGCAUUUGUUCAUUUGACUUGGGCGCUGCUUGAAAGGAUUCGCUGAGACAGUCAAAUUUUCGCCAGAUUUCUUGACAUCACCUUUUUUAAUUGCUUUCGGCGCGUUGGCUGUGCAAAUUGACGUGUGUCUGACGAAAGGGCAAAGGUUAACACGGAACGAGGUUAAAGUUACGCAUCGAUGCCACCCGACGCGUCACCUUUGAUGGGCGGCUAAUUAGCGACAAGCUGAGCAUUCAAAUUUAAGUGUAGAAACCACUUUCGGCUGGAUUUGUAAAGAAAAUGCUGUGGCCCAAGCUCUGAAAAUUAUCCAAACAAAUUCUGCGAUUGUUUAUGCCGGUAUUUUUUGUUUGUUACUGAUGGUCUCUGCAUACUAAAUUUUCAUAUUUGUGUGCCAGAGAUGUUAAAAAAAUGGCUGCUACAACCUGUUGCAUGCCACAAAUUUGUAUGCUACAGCCGGAGGCCAGCUCUCCAUAGAGCUGAGCAUCCUUCUGAACUGCAACAGCUCGAAAUAGUUCAGAUCUGCAAUCCAAACUGCAAUUUCGAGCUAAUAAACUGCAGUCAAAUGGCAGGCAACUGGCUCGCCUUUAUGCCCUCUAGGACUGGACCUCGGACUUCGGAGUGCGGCCCGGCUUGGGGCCAGAAGCUUGCUGCAAUUUUAUGGCAGCUGCAUCGGAAAAAGCAAAAAGUGGGCGGCAACCAAAUCGCAGUCACCGUUGAGCGUCAUUAAAGACACGCGAUGCGGGAAAUGCACGUAAUGGAACUGCACAGCAAAACGGACACUGGAACAAACCGCAUUUGAUGGCAGCUAAAUGCAUGGCAAGAAGCAGGCAAAGCAACCCAAGGAUGGCGGCUAAGAGUAGAAAGGCCAAAGGAAGUCGGCAAAAUAAAUUGGGUUAUGUCUUUGGCCAGUUCAACUGGGCAUUGCAUAAAUUUGUAAUUGCAUUUGCAAAAUAUGUAAAUUGGCACAUAAUUCUACGUUGACCCAUAUUUCACCACAUAUGCGCAUAUUCAGUAGCUCUGCUAUGUAUUGCUGUAUCUCUAUAUAUUUUAAUUUGUUAACACUUAGGCACCUUUUAUUUAAAGUGUUGUUUCCCUAUUAAUCUUUGUAUUUCCUUAACUACGUAAAGCUCUACUCGUUAUGCGUAACGAGUCGGGUCUUCAUUUAAUUUAAAAGAUUUUUAACAUAUUUUACGUUAUGUCUGGCAGGUUAGUUGAGAUUCUGUUUUGUAUAAUUCGCUAUUCUCAUAUAUCCACAAAAGGGAAAUGCGUAGGCAUUACUCUUGUAGAAGAGUAUUAUGUCUUCGGCAUGUAUUAUAUCUCGUUUAUAUUAAUCGUGUAAUCAGUUAGUGAGACACCUUUAGUAGCUGCUAUAAUUCAACUUCAUUUGUUAAUUUUGUUUUAUUAUAAAACUUUAAACUGCUAAAGAUCGAAACAGGUUCUUCUCUCAAACAGCUUUCAAUAAAACUCAGGACCUGCUGUGGCCAAAAAAUUAUAAAUCCAUUAAAAGAAAAACCAUAAAAUUUCAGGGAAGCGCGCGUAAGGCAGUAAAAAACAAAUGCUACCUAAAAAAAAAAAAAAUAAGGAAAAGGCUAAAAAAAUAAGGCGAAAAAGUGUGGAACUUUCUUGUUGCGGCACCGAAGGCUGUGCAAAUUUAAAUGGAGACUCCAAAUUUAACUGAGGUUUUUUCAUCCGAAAGCGAAUGCGAAAUUGUGUGGGAGAAAGAUUUGAUUUUUUGCUUUAACACUACUUGAGAAGGUCUCGAGCUGCAGUUGGAAGAGUGGAGAGGGCGAGCGAGAGAGCUGUUCGGUUGGGUUAUCAAGAUAUCUUCAAUUAGUUGAAUGAAUCAGGCCAGAUACUUGUGGCAAGUGGCUCAAUUGGCCCAAUUAGGCUGCUGUAGCAGCAUUUUCAUUAGCCAAAUGCACAUUUUAUGGCCCAAAGUCAUUUUCAAUUAGCGCAUCUCUUGCCAGACGACAUCUACAAUAUAAUUUUGGGCCAAAAACUUUGUUUUAUGACUUGUGGCUUUUCUCAGCAAAAAUAAACAUUUACGUAAUGCUCACAGUUUGUCUCUCGUUCGCAUGUUAUGCAAAAGUUGGUAAUGCCUCCUGACCCACCCCCUCUCUCUCUCUCGCGCACCGAACAGCCGCACAAAAUCUCAGCCCUCAAAAUCCUGUUUUAUGUCGCUUUGCCCCACAAAAAGUUGCCGCAGUAAUAAAGGAGAUUACCUACACAUAACAUGACUACUACAACUAUUCUCUGCACUUUUUGUGCCGCUCGACGAGACACCACAAAAGCCAAAAUCACUGAAUGGAGCCGCCUUUGAGCCGCAACUGCAGUUGCAGCUGUCUGAAAGAAAAUUUGAAUUUUAACUGCCUGAAGCUGAAUCCAAUGCUAAAAAUAGCUCUAAACGGGCUUAAUGCGAUGCCUAAGCGCAAUAAAUAGCUAAAAACGUUGAAAGUUUCAGCUAUUUUCGGCUGACAACCUCUGGAAAUCGCCGCAGAUGCAAGGCUCAAGGAUUAACCCAAAUUACAAUGGAUAGCCGUAAAAUGGUCUUGGCUGAAUUUUCUUGGCCUGGCAGGGCAUGAGUUGAAUGUAAUCCAUGCAAAAGCAGCCAGAUGAGGCCUGCGAGACUUAUUUUACUGGAAAUGCUCAAGACAAUGAAUACGCACUCGAGACAAACAAAGCGAAUUUAAAGUAUUGUAUAUAGUCGAGGCUAAAGAGGAAGGCGGUCAAUUGACAUUUGAGGCAGACAAAAUAUGAACCCACUAUAAAAAAUAUAUAUCUUGUAUAUAUAU